GGGAUAUUCGUCAAUGGAGGAAACUCUGAACGAGCAAUGCCGCGUGAGUGAUGACAGUUCUUUGGAUUGUAAAACUCUGUUGUUAGGGAAGAACGACCUAUAUAGGAAAUGAUAUAGGAGUGACUGUACCUUUCAAGAAAGCUCCGGCUAACUACGUGCCAGCAGCCGCGGUAAUACGUAGGGAGCGAGCGUUAUCCGGAUUUAUUGGGUGUAAAGGGUGCGUAGGCGGUUUAAUAAGUCUAAGGUUUAAGCCCGAAGCUUAACUUCGGUUCGCCUUAGAAACUGUUUUUCUAGAGUAUGGUAGAGGCAAGUGGAAUUUCUAGUGUAGCGGUAAAAUGCGUAGAUAUUAGAAGGAACACCAGUGGCGAAGGCGGCUUGCUGGGCCAUUACUGACGCUGAGGCACGAAAGCGUGGGGAGCAAAUA
rnacentral:rRNA from 1 species